GCGUGGAAUAAGUGAGCCAGCUGAUCGAUCUUUUUUAAUUCAGGAUAGCAAGGGAUACGGUAUGGAGGUUUGCCGUACGCCGCGCCGGUGACGGAGGCCGCAGCUGGCGCCGUGACGGCAGAUUCCCGGAGCCGUGGCCCGGGACGCUGUUGUACUCCUGAUCCGUAGCUCAGGAACUGAGCACUCCGGUAAGCCGAGCUGUGGACCGUAGUAAAUGAGGAAGCAGGCCAGGGCGGUGCUGUCUCCCACCUCUCUCCACGUUUUGUUGGAUCGCCAUUGACGCCCCGCGGAGGUCGGCGGUGCAGGGAAAACAGGGCGGCGACUGUCGGGCUGGAGUUCCUGAUGCAAACUAUUAGGAGCGCCGCGGUGAUGGAAGAGGUCAACGACAACGAGCUACCAAUGGAGCCGCUGCACUACCCCGCGGUGGCGGCAGGAGCCGAGGAGCUACGGCCAAUGGGCACAGGUCGCGUUGACGACGAGAUCUGUGUAGCUCGUGGAGCAGUUGCAUCCGAGCAGGAUAAGGAACCACAAGCAUCUGAGCAAUCAAUUGGGCAGAUGAUCCAAAAACUCCGGCUGGACUCGCAGAGUUAGAAUUGGAGCUGCUGCUCCAGGAAGGGUGCCUUGCCCUGGCUGACCCAGCGCCCUUGAGAAGGCAAUACGGGGGUUCGGUGACAAACCAUGCAACAUUGUAAUCGUGCCAGAACUGGGUACAAGCUUCGACAAGCUCGGGGAGGCCUAUGAUUUUUAUUUGCAGGGUAAAGCAGGGGUGGAAACACACUAGAUCAUGCAGAUGUGUGUACCCUGCAUUAAUAAGACUGCUUCGAUCGAAGGACAAUGAUUGGUACAUAGCUGAGCAUCGAGAACAUCACAACCAUUCACUGUCUCCAACAUAUGGGCAGACAAUACACUGGCCUUCCCACAAGCACAUUGAUACAUACAAUGGAGAUUUGGGGAGCAGCUGCGUCAGAACAAUGUCAAUCUAGCCAAAGUGCAUAGCAUAAUAGGAAGCUUUUUGGUUCAAUGGAAAAGGUGCCAUUCACGAAAAGAGCUCUGAAAUUUUUGUGUGAAAAAAUCAGCAGAGAGCAAGCAGAGAAUGAUGUGAGGAAAACAAUGGAGGUUUUUGCAGGUCUGGGUUCAACGGACCCACACUUCACUUACCGUGUGCAGGCAGACAAGGAUGGUCGGAUAACAACUCUGAUGUGGGCAAAUGGGAGCAUUAGAUUGCAGUACACCUUCUUUGGAGAUGUUUUUACCUUCGAUACAACAUACAGAACAAAUCUGUACAACAUGCCGUUUGGUCUGUUUGUAGGAGUGAAUAAUCAUUUCCAGAGCAUCAUCUUGGCUGGGAUUUUGGUCCGUGAUGAAAAAGUGGAGACUUUUGAGUGGGUUUCCACAGAAUGCGUUAGGAUGAUGGCUGGAAGUGCACCAAAGACAAUUCUAACAGAUCAAAACCGUGCGAUGGAGGUUGCCAUAAAAAAUGUGAUGCCUCAAACAGCACACCGAUGGUGUAAGUGGCACGUGCUGAAAAAGGCGAAGGAAUCACUCGGUUCAUUGUACACCAAGAAGAGCGAGUUCACGGCACAGUUCCACAAGGUAGUAAAUCACAUGCUUACGAUCGAUGAAUUCGAGGAAGCAUGGAAGAUACUGGUUGAGUAAUAUAAUUUAAAGACGCAUGACUACAUGACUCGAACUGUAUGAAAUAAGACACGAGUGGGCGAAGCCAUAUUUCAAAGGUGUUUUCUGUGCUAAGAUGACAAGCACCCAAUGCAGUGAAAGUGCAAACCACAUGCUGAAGAGCUAUGUCCCACCUGGUUGUCUGAUGCAUAUGUUUGUCAAAAAAUACAUGAGACUGCAGUUUGACAGGGAAGCUGAGGAGAACUACGAGGAGAAACGGACACGAAUAGUAAGUCAACGUUUGGUAAUUGCCACUAGUUUUGUAGUGCUGACCUCUACGUUUCAGGGUAGAACACUAUACAAAGCAAACUUAGCUAUUGACAGACAUGCUGGUAAGAUAUAGACACGUGCUAUGUUCGAGCAGUUUGGACAUAUAAGGUAAAUGUUGAGUGCGGUGCAUACCAAGUUGAGGAGCUUGAGAAAGGGAAACUGUAUCUUGCGAUUCAUACAGAGGCUGCAAGGAGAGAAAAGUGGUGUAGGGUGUCAUAUAAGGUAAAUGUUCUUGAAGGAGGUGAGGAAUUCGAUUGCGAGUGUGGGCAAUUUGCACACAUGGGACUCCUUUGUAGCCAUGUUUUGAAGGUGAUGGAUUUCAUUCGUAUUACAGAGAUACCGCCGAAACACAUUGUGAAGCGAUGGACGAGGGACGCGUGUGAUGUGCUGCCAGCCCAUCUUACUCAAUACCAGAGAGAUCAUGCACACAAAAAUACAAGCACCAACAGCAGCUGCUGUGAGUGGGGGUGCAGGCAUCGAGGCAGUGAAUGAUGAUGCUACUUCUGGAAAUGAGACUGGGAACAGACACACUGGUUUAUUGGCGCCGAAGAAAUGGAAAGAAAUGGGGCGCCCAACAACCAGCCGGGAGAAGGCACCGUACGAGGGACUCAGCAAGCGGACAAUGUUCUGCAGCAUAUGUCGGCAGCAGGGGCACAAGAGGACUACAUGCCUGGACCGGGGAGAUGCCCCGAAGCCUGUUUGUAAACCAGCAAGGUGCAAGAAUUGUGGGAUUGAAGGUCACAGACGGAACAACUGCCAGAAAUUGGGUGAUUUACGGAUGAUUGGCUUGUGAGGAGGUGCAGCAGACUAUGUACUUAAGACAAUAAUUCUGUAGAGCUUAAUGUGUGCAACUGUAGUUCCAUGCUAUAGAAUUAUAGGUACCACCAUUUCUGAGCACUAUGGUGGUGUGUAUGCUUCUGAAUUUUUGGGCAAUAAGUUGGAGUUCAUAAUUGGAAAAUAUAAUAAAAAUGUACUGAGGUGAAGCAUACUGAA